UUCAUUAAAUUUACCCAUCAAAAGUAGAUUCAGAUUCUUGAUGGGUUAACUUUCAAACAUAAACAAACAUGUCAACCUUGUAAACAAUCUUUCACAACCACCGAUCACAUGGUUUUGCUUUCAUGCAACCCUGCCUUGUGGGAGCGAGCUCCAUGAAAUGGAUUGUCUGGCCUUGUGAAUAUAUAACCAAGUCACAUACUUUUCCUUGUACCCAUAAAAAAUUUGCAUUCCGUAUUUGAGAAUCUAAAGGUUUCUUCCUUUAUUUUCCUCUCAACUUUCAGUUCUUAUAGAAUAACAAGAUGAUCAGUACCAAGAAACUUCUGAAAUUGGCCAGGAAAUGGCAGAAGAUGGCUGCUAUCAGGCGAAGAAGAAUCAUGUCGUCACAAAACAUAGGAAGUAUAGAUACUCCAUUGAUAGCUAAGAAAGGCCAUUUUGUUGUGUACUCUGCAGAUCAAAAACGAUUCCUUCUUUCC
rnacentral:lncRNA from 1 species